GAGGGUGCGAGCGUUGUUCGGAAUUACUGGGCGUAAAGCGCGCGCAGGCGGCCUCUUAAGUCUACCCGUGAAAUGCCGGGGCUCAACUCCGUGCACGCCGGGGGAUACUGGGAGGCUGGAGACAGGUAGAGGCAAGCGGAAUUCCGGGUGUAGCGGUGGAAUGCGUAGAGAUCCGGAAGAACACCUGAGGCGAAGGCGGCUUGCUGGGCCUGAUCUGACGCUGAGGCGCGAAAGCGUGGGGAGCAAACAGGAUUAGAUACCCUGGUAGUCCACGCCGUAAACGAUGGGCACUAGACGCGGGUGGGAUCGACCCCUUCCGUGUCGCAGCUAACGCGAUAAGUGCCCCGCCUGGGGAGUACGGCCGCAAGGCUG
rnacentral:rRNA from 1 species